rnacentral:rRNA from 1 species
GAUGAACGCUGGCGGCGUGCCUAAUACAUGCAAGUCGAGCGAACGGACGAGAAGCUUGCUUUUCUGAUUUUAUCGGCGGACGGGUGAGUAACACGUGGAUAACCUACCUAUAAGACUGGGAUAACUUCGGGAAACCGCAGCUAAUACCGGAUAAUAUUUUGAACCGCAUGGUUCAAAAGUGAAAGACGUUCUUGCUGUCACUUAUAGCUGGAUCCGCGCUUCAUUAGCUAGUUGGUAAGGUAACGGCUUACCAAGGCAACGAUGCAUAGCCGACCUGAGAGGGUGAUCGGCCACCCUGGAACUGAGACACGGUCCAGACUCCUACGGGAGGCAGCAGUAGGGAAUCUUCCGCAAAGGGCGAAAGCCUGACGGAGCAACGCCGCGUGAGUGAUGAAGGUCUUCGGAUCGUAAAACUCUGUUAUUAGGGAAGAACAUAUGUGUAAGUAACUGUGCACAUCUUGACGGUACCUAAUCAGAAAGCCAUGGCUAACUACGUG